rnacentral:rRNA from 1 species
GACGUAGGGUGCGAGCGUUGUCCGGAUUUAUUGGGCGUAAAGAGCUCGUAGGCGGCUCGUCGCGUCGACCGUGAAAACCCGCAGCUUAACUGCGGGCUUGCGGUUGAUACGGGCGGGCUAGAGUUCGGUAGGGGAGACUGGAAUUCCUGGUGUAGGCGGUGAAAUGCGCAGAUAUCAGGAGGAACACCGGUGGCGAAGGCGGGUCUCUGGGCCGAUACUGACGCUGAGGAGCGAAAGCGUGGGGAGCGAACAGG